rnacentral:rRNA from 1 species
CACGCCGUAAACGAUGAUGACUAACUAUGGCCGUGAGGCCGUGGUGAAGCUAACGCAUUAAGUCAUCCGCCUGGGAAGUACGGUCGCAAGACUGAAACUUAAAGGAAUUGACGGGACCCCGCACAAGCAGUGGAGCAUGUGGUUUAAUUCGACGCUACGCGAGAAACCUUACCAGGGUUUGACAUGGUGGAUAAGGCCUCAGAGAUGAGGAGAUAAUACCCACACACAGGUGG